UACGUAGGGUGCAGGCGUUAAUCGGAAUACUGGGCGUAAAGCGUGCGCAGGCGGUCUCUUAAGACAGGUGUGAAAUCCCCGGGCUUAACCUGGGAACUGCGCUUGUAACUGAGAGGCUAGAGUGUGGCAGAGGGGGGUGGAAUUCCACGUGUAGCAGUGAAAUGCGUAGAGAUGUGGAGGAACACCGAUGGCGAAGGCAGCCCCCCUGGGCUAACACUGACGCUCAUGCACGAAAGCGUGGGGAGCAAACAGG
rnacentral:rRNA from 1 species